CCUACGGGGGGCAGCAGUGAGGAAUAUUGGUCAAUGGGCUUACGCCUGAACCAGCCAAGUCGCGUGAGGGAAGACUGCCCUAUGGGUUGUAAACCUCUUUUGUCAGGGAGCAAUUGGCGCUACGUGUAGCGUUAUCGAGAGUACCUGAAGAAAAAGCAUCGGCUAACUCCGUGCCAGCAGCCGCGGUAAUACGGAGGAUGCGAGCGUUAUCCGGAUUUAUUGGGUUUAAAGGGUGCGUAGGCGGAAUGCCAAGUCAGCGGUAAAAAUUCGGGGCUCAACCCCGUCCGGCCGUUGAAACUGGGGGCCUUGAGUGGGCGAGAAGAAGGCGGAAUGCGUGGUGUAGCGGUGAAAUGCAUAGAUAUCACGCAGAACCCCGAUUGCGAAGGCAGCCUUCCGGCGCCCUACUGACGCUGAGGCACGAAAGUGCGGGGAUCGAACAGGAUUAGAUACCCGGGUAGUC
rnacentral:rRNA from 1 species